UUUGACGUUAGCGACAGAAGAAGCACCGGCUAACUCCGUGCCAGCAGCCGCGGUAAUACGGAGGGUGCGAGCGUUAAUCGGAAUUACUGGGCGUAAAGCGCAUGCAGGUGGUUUGUUAAGUCAGAUGUGAAAGCCCGGGGCUCAACCUCGGAAUAGCAUUUGAAACUGGCAGACUAGAGUACUGUAGAGGGGGGUAGAAUUUCAGGUGUAGCGGUGAAAUGCGUAGAGAUCUGAAGGAAUACCGGUGGCGAAGGCGGCCCCCUGGACAGAUACUGACACUCAGAUGCGAAAGCGUGGGGAGCAAACAGGAUUAGAUACCCUGGUAGUCCACGCCGUAAACGAUGUCUACUUGGAGGUUGUGGCCUUGAGCCGUGGCUUUCGGAGCUAACGCGUUAAGUAGACCGCCUGGGGAGUACGGUCGCAAGAUUAAAACUCAAAUGAAUUGACGGGGGCCCGCACAAGCGGUGGAGCAUGUGGUUUAAUUCGAUGCAACGCGAAGAACCUUACCUACUCUUGACAUCCAGAGAACUUUCCAGAGAUGGAUUGGUGCCUUCGGGAACUCUGAGACAGGU
rnacentral:rRNA from 1 species